GUCUACGGCCAUACCACCCUGAACGUGCCUGAUCUCGUCUGAUCUCGGAAGCUAAGCAGGGUCGGGCCUGCUUAGUACUUGGAUGGGAGAGACUGGCAAUGGGGGGUGGGACC
rnacentral:rRNA from 1 species